GUAGGCUAUCGGACCUAACCACUGAUAGAAAGAACAAUCUUACUUUAUAUGGAUAAAGGACACGUUACGAUACGAGUGUAUAUUUUAUGAUUGAUAUUGAAGAAUUGUUUUCUUUUACAAAAGAAUUUUGUCAAUAAAUUUUAUUGCUAAGAAAGAUGCAGAUUCUUUUAGGUUUAUUAGUUUUAGUUACUGGUGCACAUUGUUUAUAUUCAUCUAAUUCAGAUGUCAUCGAUCUGACACCAAGUAAUUUUGAUAGUUCAGUAAUUGACAGCGAACAUAUCUGGAUCGUAGAAUUUUAUGCGCCAUGGUGCGGGCACUGUCAACAAUUUGUAUCUGAAUAUGAUAAAGCAGCAACAGCAUUAAAGGGCAUCAUCAAACUUGGAGCAGUGAAUGCAGAUGAACAUCAAUCUCUUGGGUCUAGAUUUAGCGUGCGUGGUUUUCCAACGAUUAAAAUUUUUGGUAAAGAUAAAAAUAAACCAGAAGAUUUCAAUGGUCCUCGUACAGCAGCUGGUCUCAUCGAUGCUGCUACAACUGCCAUUACUCAGAAAGCAUAUGCUAAAAUAGGUGGCAAAAAGAGUGGCGGUAGCAGUGGUGGUAGUGGUCAUAAACAAGCUAAAGAUUCUAAGGAUGUGGUGGAACUGACCGAUGAGAAUUUCGACAAAUUAGUAUUGAAUUCAGAAGAUAUGUGGUUAGUUGAAUUCUAUGCCCCGUGGUGUGGACACUGCAAAAAUUUGGCACCUAUCUGGGCUUCUGCGGCUACGGAACUUAAAGGCAAAGUAAAAUUAGGAGCUCUUGAUGCAACUGUACAUACUGUUAAGGCUAGUCAAUAUAAAAUAGUAGGAUAUCCGACUAUCAAAUACUUUCCAUUGGGCAAAAAAGGUGCUGACUCCGUACAAGAAUAUGAUGGUGGUCGUACAAGUACCGACAUUGUUAACUGGGCUUUGGAUAAACUGGCUGAGAAUAUUCCAGCACCCGAAGUUGUUCAAAUAGUCGAUGAAAAGAGUUUAAGAAGUGCAUGCCAAGAUAAACCUCUUUGUGUAGUUUCAGUAUUACCACAUAUAUUAGAUUGUCAAUCAGAAUGUAGAAAUCAGUACCUAAAAGUUUUACGCGAUCUUGGAAAAAAUUAUAAAAAGAAAAUGUGGGGAUGGGUUUGGUCAGAGGCAGGAGCUCAACCAAACAUUGAAGAAGCAUUGGAAAUUGGAGGAUUUGGUUAUCCCGCUUUGGCGGCAGUAAAUAUUAAAAAAAUGAAGUAUUCCUUAUUGAAAGGAAGUUUCUCAUACGAUGGAAUAAAUGAAUUUUUGAGAGAUUUAAGUUACGGACGUGGUGGAACCGCUCCUUUGAAAGGAGCUCAAUUACCUUCUAUAAUUGAAAUUACACCAUGGGACGGUAAAGAUGCCGAGCCUCCACAAGAAGAAGAUAUCGAUCUUACUGAUUUUAUUUUGGAUGAGAAAGACGAAUUGUAAUCAUCGAGAUAUCAAUGAAAUCUUUUUUUUGUACGGUGCUGUACUCGAUUUGUCAGCUGCGAUGCGUUUCAAUAUUGUCAUCAAUAUAUCAUUGAAAAUCGAUCUCCAAGUGGCUGGUCUCAUUUUAAAUAUACGUAUAUUAAGUUUCUCGAAAUAUCAAUGCUUGAAUUAUGGAAAAAUAUAGUGUUGCUCGUUGCCGACUAGCUGGAUAAAAAAAUUAAUUUGGAAGAUAUUUUAUACAAAAGUAUAGUCGAAAGUAUGUUUGUGUUGCAUAAAUUAUAUUUUUCCACAGUACCAAGCAUUCCUUCCAAGAAAGCCAAUUUACAUAAAUUUAUGUAAACUUCCUAAACAGAAAAAAACAA
rnacentral:misc_RNA from 1 species